rnacentral:misc_RNA from 1 species
AGCAGCCGCGGUAAUUCCAGCUCCAAUAGCGUAUAUUAAAGUUGCUGCAGUUAAAAAGCUCGUAGUUGAAUUUCGGGACCAUCAUGUUGGUCGUGCCUCGGUACGUACUGGCAUUGUUGGUUUCUCCCUUCUGACGAACCAUGAUGUCAUUUAUUUGGUGUCGUGGGAAAUCAGGACUGUUACUUUGAAAAAAUUAGAGUGUUUAAAGCAGGCUCACGCUUGAAUACAUUAGCAUGGAAUAAUGAAAUAGGACGUUUGAUUCUAUUUUGUUGGUUUCUAGGAUCGACGUAAUGAUUAAUAGGGAUAGUUGGGGGCAUUAGUAUUCAAUUGUCAGAGGUGAAAUUCUUGGAUUUAUUGAAGACUAACUACUGCGAAAGCAUUUGCCAAGGAUGUUUUCAUUAAUCAAGAACGAAAGUUAGGGGAUCGAAGACGAUCAGAUACCGUCGUAGUCUUAACCAUAAACUAUGCCGACUAGGAUCGGAUGAUGUUAAUUUUUAAUGACUCAUUCGGCG